UAGGGAAUAUUGGGCAAUGGGCGCGAGCCUGACCCAGCCAUGCCGCGUGCAGGAAGAAGGCGCUACGCGUUGUAAACUGCUUUUAUCAGGGAAGAAAACGCUCCUGCGGGAGUAACUGACGGUACCUGAGGAAUAAGCACCGGCUAACUCCGUGCCAGCAGCCGCGGUAAUACGGAGGGUGCAAGCGUUGUCCGGAUUUAUUGGGUUUAAAGGGUGCGUAGGCGGCUUUUUAAGCCAGAGGUGAAAGACUACAGCUUAACUGUGGCAGUGCCUUUGAUACUGGAGAGCUUGAGUACAGUUGAGGUAGGCGGAAUGCAGGGUGUAGCGGUGAAAUGCAUAGAUACCCUGCAGAACACCGAUUGCGAAGGCAGCUUACUAAGUUGUUACUGACGCUGAGGCACGAAAGCGUGGGGAUCAAACAG
rnacentral:rRNA from 1 species